rnacentral:rRNA from 1 species
AACGUAGGAGACGAACGUUAUCCGGAGUUACUGGGCGUAAAGGGCGUGUAGGUGGUUUCGUAAGUCUGGCGUGAAAUUUCUCGGCUUAACCGAGGCAGGUCGUCGGAUACUGCGGAACUUGAGGACGGUAGAGGCGUGUGGAAUUCCGGGUGUAGUGGUGAAAUGCGUAGAUAUCGGGAAGAACACCAGUGGCGAAGGCGGCUCACUGGCUCGUAUCUGACGCUCAGGCGCGAUAGCGUGGGGGAUCAAACAGG